GACGAACGCUGGCGGCGUGCCUAAUACAUGCAAGUAGAACGCUGAAGGAGGAGCUUGCUCUUCUGGAUGAGUUGCGAACGGGUGAGUAACGCGUAGGUAACCUGCCUGGUAGCGGGGGAUAACUAUUGGAAACGAUAGCUAAUACCGCAUAAGAGUAGAUAUCGCAUGAUAGCUGCUUGAAAGGUGCAAUUGCACCACUACCAGAUGGACCUGCGUUGUAUUAGCUAGUUGGUGAGGUAACGGCUCACCAAGGCAACGAUACAUAGCCGACCUGAGAGGGUGAUCGGCCACACUGGGACUGAGACACGGCCCAGACUCCUACGGGAGGCAGCAGUAGGGAAUCUUCGGCAAUGGACGAAAGUCUGACCGAGCAACGCCGCGUGAGUGAAGAAGGUUUUCGGAUCGUAAAGCUCUGUUGUAAGAGAAGAACGAGUGUGAGAGUGGAAAGUUCACACUGUGACGGUAUCUACCAGAAA
rnacentral:rRNA from 1 species